UACAGGGGGUGCAAACGUUGCUCGGAAUCAUUGGGCGUAAAGCGCACGUAGGCGGUCUGUUAUGUCGGAUGUGAAAGCCCUUGGCUCAACUGAGGAAGUGCAUCCGAAACUGGCAGGCUAGAGUACUAAAGAGGAUCGCGGAAUUCCCGGUGUAGAGGUGAAAUUCGUAGAUAUCGGGAGGAACACCAGUGGCGAAGGCGACUACCUGGCCUGUUCUUGACGCUGAGGCGCGAAAGCUAGGGAGCAAACGGG
rnacentral:rRNA from 1 species